UCAUGGCCUACGUGGCCUUCUUCUCCAUCGGCCUCGGCCCCAUCACGUGGGUGUACAGCUCGGAGAUCUUCCCGCUGCACGUGCGCGCGCUGGGCUGCUCCCUCGGCGUGGCCGUCAACCGCCUGACCAGCGGCGUGAUCUCCAUGACCUUCAUUUCGCUGUCCAAGGCCAUGACCAUCGGCGGCGCCUUCUUCCUCUUCGCCGGCAUCGCCUCGUUCGCGUGGGUUUUCUUCUUCGCCUACCUGCCGGAGACCCGCGGCCGCACGCUGGAGGACAUGAGCUCGCUGUUCGGCUCCACGGCCACGCGCAAGCAGGGCGCCACGG
rnacentral:lncRNA from 1 species